CACAGAGGAACCAGCUGAGCAGCACAGGACCACACACAGUCUCACUGAGUCAGUAGACAUGGAGGAUGGGAAGCCUGAUCUGCUGCUGGUCAAAGAGGAGACAAUAGAAGAUGGACCAGAGAGCAUUGAUCUGCUGAGUGGAUUAAAGAUGAGGGAGCAAGGUGGUUGGCUGGAGGCUAACAGAGGAGACUGGUCGGCCAUCUUGGAUUC